AUUGAACGCUGGCGGCAGGCCUAACACAUGCAAGUCGAGCGGAUGAAGGGAGCUUGCUCCUGGAUUCAGCGGCGGACGGGUGAGUAAUGCCUAGGAAUCUGCCUGGUAGUGGGGGAUAACGUCCGGAAACGGGCGCUAAUACCGCAUACGUCCUGAGGGAGAAAGUGGGGGAUCUUCGGACCUCACGCUAUCAGAUGAGCCUAGGUCGGAUUAGCUAGUUGGUGGGGUAAAGGCCUACCAAGGCGACGAUCCGUAACUGGUCUGAGAGGAUGAUCAGUCACACUGGAACUGAGACACGGUCCAGACUCCUACGGGAGGCAGCAGUGGGGAAUAUUGGACAAUGGGCGAAAGCCUGAUCCAGCCAUGCCGCGUGUGUGAAGAAGGUCCUCGGAUUGUAGCACUUUAAGUUGGGAGGAAGGGCAGUAAGUUAAUACCUUGCUGUUUUGACGUUACCAACAGAAUAAGCACCGGCUAACUUCGUG
rnacentral:rRNA from 1 species